rnacentral:rRNA from 1 species
UACGGAGGGGGCUAGCGUUGUUCGGAAUUACUGGGCGUAAAGCGCGCGUAGGCGGACCUGCAAGUCGGGGGUGAAAGCCCGAGGCUCAACCUCGGAACUGCCUUCGAUACUGCGGGUCUCGAGUCCGGGAGAGGUGAGUGGAAUUCCUAGUGUAGAGGUGAAAUUCGUAGAUAUUAGGAAGAACACCAGAGGCGAAGGCGGCUCACUGGCCCGGUACUGACGCUGAGGCGCGAAAGCGUGGGGAGCAAACAGG